rnacentral:rRNA from 1 species
UACGGAGGGUGCAAACGUUGCUCGGAAUCAUUGGGCGUAAAGCGCACGUAGGCGGCCUGAUAAGUCGGGUGUGAAAGCCCUGGGCUCAACCCAGGAAGUGCACUCGAAACUGUCAGGCUUGAAUAUGGAAGAGGGUCGCGGAAUUCCCGGUGUAGAGGUGAAAUUCGUAGAUAUCGGGAGGAACACCAGUGGCGAAGGCGGCGACCUGGCCCGAUACUGACGCUGAGGCACGAAAGCGUGGGGAGCAAACAGG